CCGCCCGGCCCGGCGCGGCGCGGCCCGGCGCGGCCCGGCCCCGCUGGCGGCGGCGGGCGGAGGGGGGCUGCGGCAGCGGCGGGGGGACUCGGCAUCGCCUUUGCAACGGUCCCACUACGGACAACUUCUUUGUAUCAGAAAUAGUUUUAAGAUUUACUGAAGGUCAUUUCCUUUUGGCUCAUUAUGGAAGUGAAGACGCCGUUUUGCGUGUUGCAGAUGACUCUGCUGUUUGUCCCUUGCCUGCAAGCAUUGAAUUUUAAUGUAACCCAAUGAGUGCGCGAUUGGAGAAGAUGAACUCCAGAAGCCCGUUGAACUCCAGAGGUCCCUUCUGACCAGCAUACCCAUGAUUCUUUAUUUUGAGCCUGCUUAAACUGGUGAGCCUGCUUUCCCAAUGGCUUGGACUUUGCUCAUCAGGAAGAGAUUGGUCUCACCGGCUGCUCCAUUUCGAGACUAGCUUCUGUCGACGCAGAACACACUCCUUCUGAGCAAAGGGCUGUCAAACAGCACGGCACGCAGUCAGCCUAGUCUUGGUUUUCAUCCUUCAUCUGCAGAAGGAUGAUGAGUCCCCCUGACACAGAACUAGAAGCAGAACGUGCUCUGAAAACAACUGUGGCAAGCUUGGAAAUGAAACUCUGCAGUCUGGGCAUUUGCUAUCCAGAUUCUGUACUGAGAUUUUUUUUUAUGCACUGUAGAAAGACAGCAAGUUCCUCCUGGGGGAGGCAAACUUCCUCUCCUGACAGGGAACUAAUAACUGCUCUUACAGGCUUCUGAGCUGCAAUGUGUUGCAGUUUCUGCUUAGAAUUUUGGGCCAGUAACCCUGGGCUUGGAAAAUACAGGCGAGAUGCAGCAAACAGCAGUGGAGCAAGAGCUGAAUGAAUACCUUUAUAAAUGUUACAACGAACACUGGCAAAUGAACACUGAGUGAGUGACAACAAGCAAACAGAAUCUGUUAGAAUAUGUCAGCAGGAGUGAGGAAAUGGAAGUGGGCAGAGAGGGAGAAUGGAAAAAUAUGGAGAUAUGUGAAGGGAAAACAAGAAAGAAUACAGAAAAACAUGCAAAAAAAAAGGAAGAGAUACAGAAAUGUAUCUUUUAAAGAAGCUGAGUAAAGAAAAUGAAAAAGCUAAGAGCAAACCAAACAGCCUAUGAAGUUAAAAUUUCCAACAUUUAAAAACAUUUAAAAUCAAAAUAUAAUAAUAGUGUAUACAGGAGGUAUGUAUAAGAGUGUGCCUGUGUGCACACAACAUUUUGUUCAGUUAUACAGGUCUUUUUUUGCAGAUCUCCUUCUGGAAGCAAAGCAAAUUAAAUUGUCCUUUUCUAAGACACUUGGCAAAAAGCCAUCUUGGGAGAACUUAUUUUGAAGAGUAGCUUCAUUUAUAAUUGCUUUUCCUUCCUGUUUGCAGCAGAAGACAGAUACUUGAAAUUCUGGUCGUGGAGUUGCGGGGCCUCUGUUCCCAGCACAAGUGCUUUAUCUUUAUUGUGACAGCUUCCCUGUGCACACUGCAGAGUCGUAUCACCUAUGUAAUGAAAAGAGGGUGUUCAGGGAAGCCCAUUUUGCUGCAGUGCCAAAGCCACCUACAGUUGAAGAAUGAGAUGGAGAGACUAUAAAUGUAACAAAUUAAUGACAAAGUCAGUUAACUAUGAGACAGCUUUUGCCACAUCCAGAUUCUCAAAAAUCAUGACUUUAUUCCCUCUCAGCUUUGCCCGAAGCAACCAUCCUACAAAUUUUAAUUAAAAAUAAACAUUUUUCCCUCUGCUUCUCCACCCUUUUUACUCCUGUAAGCCUCUAAUCAGCUGAGUCUCUGAAGUCAUGUUUUUACACUUUUCCUUCAAUCACAGAAUAAAAUACUUACUGGAAGAAAAAAAGAAAAGCUAGAAAACAGAUGGUCAGUUGAGUCAUUGUCUAACUGAAACUCCAGAGUUUGUAAGAGUGAAAAUAAAAUCAUGAGAGCCGA